rnacentral:lncRNA from 1 species
UACCAAUGCUGAUGGAUGUGGUGGCGAUACUCCUUGAAAUGUAAAUAUAAAUGAGCAUCCACAGCUCGCCGCAUGCGAUCCUUCUCAAAUCCAAUAAUAUCAAAUACAUCAUGUCAAUAACAAAUAUUAAAAGAAUAUCAUGCUAAUUAAAUAUUCAUAAUAUAAUCUAUUUUAUCUGUAAUUGAGUAUAGAAAAUCUCUCUUUGAGCCUGUACAACAUGAC